AGCUUGCUACUUUUGCCGGCAAGCGGCGGACGGGUGAGUAAUGCCUGGGAAAUUGCCCAGUCGAGGGGGAUAACAGUUGGAAACGACUGCUAAUACCGCAUACCCCCUACGGGGGAAAGCAGGGGACCUUCGGGCCUUGCGCGAUUGGAUAUGCCCAGGUGGGAUUAGCUAGUUGGUGAGGUAAUGGCUCACCAAGGCAACAAUCCCUAGCUGGUCUGAAAGGAUGAUCAGCCACACUGGAACUGAAACACGGUCCAAACUCCUACGGGAGGCAGCAGUGGGGAAUAUUGCACAAGGGGGGAAACCCUGAUGCACCCAUGCCGCGUGUGUGAAAAAGGCCUUCGGGUUGUAAAGCACUUUCAGCGAGGAGGAAAGGUCAGUAGCUAAUAUCUGCUGACUGUGACGUUACUCGCAAAAAAAGCACCGGCUAACUCCGUG
rnacentral:rRNA from 1 species